AUACGGAGGAUCCAAGCGUUAUCCGGAAUCAUUGGGUUUAAAGGGUCCGUAGGCGGUCUUAUAAGUCAGUGGUGAAAGCCCAUCGCUCAACGAUGGAACUGCCAUUGAUACUGUAAGACUUGAAUGCUUAGGAAGUAACUAGAAUAUGUAGUGUAGCGGUGAAAUGCUUAGAUAUUACAUGGAAUACCAAUUGCGAAGGCAGGUUACUACUAAGUGAUUGACGCUGAUGGACGAAAGCGUGGGGAGCGAACAGGAUUAGAUACCCUGGUAGUCCACGCCGUAAACGAUGGAUACUAGCUGUUCGGCGCAAGUUGAGUGGCUAAGCGAAAGUGAUAAGUAUCCCACCUGGGGAGUACGCACGCAAGUGUGAA
rnacentral:rRNA from 1 species